GUGCUCGCUUCUGCGGCACAUACACUAAAAUUGGAACUGAUACGCAGAAGAUUAGCACGGCCCCUGCGCAAGGGUGACACAAAUUCAUGAAGAUUCCGUAUCUUUU